CACCUCUUUAAAUGGCAAUCCCGUGAGGUUGCAAAGAGGUACUUGCUUCCCGUCUUUCGAUGGAAGGAGUAUGCCUCUUUGCGCCUCUCGCAAAGAGGUUUUUUAGU
rfam:Brevibacillus borstelensis AK1 seq_num_001, whole genome shotgun sequence.